GACGAACGCUGGCGGCGUGCUUAACACAUGCAAGUCGAACGGAAAGGCCCUGCUUUGUGGGGGUGCUCGAGUUGCGAACUGGUGAGUAACACGUGAGUAACCUGCCCUUCACUGUGGGAGAACUUCAGGAAACUUGGGCUAAUACCGGAUAGGAUCUCCUGCUGCAUGGUGGGGGUGGGAUAGUUUCGGCGGCUGGUGAUGGACUAGCCGCUUAUCAGCUUGUUGGUUGGGUAGUGUCUUACCAAGGCUUUGAGAGGUAGCAGGCCUGAGAGGGUGACCGGCCAAACUGGGACUGAGAUAAGGCCCAGACUCCUACGGGAGGCAGGGGUGGAGAAUAUUACACAAGGGGCGGAAGGCAAGUGUAAUAAAGCAGUGUGGGGGAUGAGAGGAAGGGGGUAGUGAUCCGAAGCCGUCUGUGACGAGAUGAGAGUGACAGUAAUGGGAAAAGAAGCUCCGGCUAACUACGUG
rnacentral:rRNA from 1 species